rnacentral:rRNA from 1 species
CAGUCGCCGCGGGAAUACGGAGGGUGCAAGCGUUAAUCGGAAUUACUGGGCGUAAAGCGCACGCAGGCGGUCUGACAAGUCAGAUGUGAAAUCCCCGGGCUUAACCUGGAAACUGCAUUUGAAACUGUCAGGCUGGAGUCUUGUAGAGGGGGGUAGAAUUCCAGGUGUAGCGGUGAAAUGCGUAGAGAUCUGGAGGAAUACCGGUGGCGAAGGCGGCCCCCUGGACAAAGACUGACGCUCAGGUGCGAAAGCGUGGGGAGCAAACAGGAUUAGAUACCCCUGUAGUCCCUGUCUCUUAUAC